CUGAGCCACUGUUGCCACCGUGCGGGCGUUUGGCAGAGAGAUGCUCUGCAGCCUCAGAGCCCGGGCAGCGGUGGAGUGAUAUCCCUGCAGUUCAACUGCCCAGAGCUGCCCCUCUGCCAUUGCUAUGAAUCGGUGCUAAUUGCUACCGGUGAGCAAUGGGCUGUGCCACCGCGGCUCCUGCACCUGAGGACUCUAAUCAAGUUUUCCAGAGCCGCGGUCCAAAUGAGGAUCUGUGUGCAGAAUAUCCGACCCAGGAGAACGGGAUGGAGCUUUGCAUGGGAAGCAAUGCCAGGCUGGAAAUUUCCAAAGCGCUCAGCGGUUCACCUGCACUGCAGCGCAGACCACAUCCCCUCCGUGCACAGCUCUGCCAGCCCUGAGCUCCUGCUCGCAGGUGGAUGGGUUGCACUCAGCGCUGGAAGAGUGUUGUAAGGCAGCUUUAUAAUCGCUUUAUAAUCUCUGAAAUUGCUUUCUACCAUUAUUUCCGCUCCUGGAUCCAACUGUCCAUCAGCAGCUUUCAGUGCAAAUGUGUUUUUUAAUGCUUGUCUUGCAGUGUUUUGCAAACAAUGGACCCAUUAUUGUCUUGAGUUCAGAUGGCCUGCUUACACGUAACCAUGGCCAUCCAUAUAACCUCCUUGUUCCGUUGAACGGUGCAGAGGAUGCAAACAAUGUGUACUGUUCUGAGAGCAAAUGCAGAAGUGAUCCAUACUGCACAGGUCACAGCGGAGCCUGGCCGUUAAUUGGCUGUACAGUUGUAGGAGAAGGGAGGAAAACCCAACCACAGCCCAUCUUUGUGGCUGGGCCAAAGGUGGGCAAGAUCACAGCUGAAGUGCUCACGUGGGCUCCUGAUUGUGGAAACACGCUGAAUAUGUGAUACAACGUGAAGUUACGUAACACCUUUAAUGAAAUUCUUGGCGAUAAAACAAUGCAUAAAAAGAACAGAUGUGGCAAAUUGCAGCCGCGGUCUGAUCCCUUUCUCUGGUUGGUUUAGUGAAAACAAUGGAGUUGAUUUAAAUUCAUUUUUUAAUUUUCUUUCUUCAAAAUGUCCACAGGCAAAGAAAGAAAAGCAAAAAAACAAAACAAAACAAAAAACUCCAAGUGCAAAUGGGGUCUUGUAUGGAGAGCUGUGAGCUCCAGUGAGGGGUGAGGGAAAUGGGGGGGCCAGCCCUGCCUGUGGGGCUCCUGCUGCAGUGUGGGACAUGACCCUGAGCUGUGUCCCUGCUGGCAGAGCAGUUCAAUGAGUCUGAGCUUGCCCAGGUCUCCAUAUGUUCAGGAAUGGACGGUCCCUCACCGAGCUGCUGUUUGUGUAAGGCCCUGAAGCAGCACAAGGCAAAGCUUGGUGUCCCCCCAGCACCAAUGCUGAGUGGAGUCCAGCUCCUGGCCUCCAACCUGUUGCCAGCCCCAUGGGUUUCCCACAAGGUCCCGGGCUGUGGGGCUGCAUGGCCGAUAAGGGGCUGCAGGCUCUAAUCAGAGCUGCAUCUGCAUGCACUGUGGCUCCUGAUAAGGGCAGCAGGCUCAAGCGAUGGACUCCUGUUUGUUGUGGUACACAGUGCCCUGAAUAUGGGCAAGCUGCUGCUUCAGCCCCUAAAACCAGACCCAGAGCUUUGAACAGCAAAGCAAUGCUCUGUUGCUGCUGCACAAGCAAGAAGGCAAUGGCUGUGGCUGGGGGUUGGUUGGUUGCUAUAUUUUUUGUAAUCCUCUUUCUGCUUUCUGGCUAUUAGCAUUGUAUAUAGUUGGCUUUCUACAACAGCUCAUGUUCUGGCUCCAUUGAGGCAACAGCUCCAUAAUAACUGUGCUUCCUGAAACCAAGCCCCAGCUCUGCUCUGGGAUGGCCCAUCAGCAUGGCUGGCUGAGAUGUGCCAUUAGCUCUGGGUAUUGUCUGAAGUAUUUUUGUUCUUGGAUGGAAGAAAACAGCAGGACAUUUUGAAUGAAAAUAGGAAAAAUGGCAUUAACAGCUGAUCUUUUAAUAGAUGAAAAGCCUUCAAGCUAAAGGCUUCUGACUUAAAAAGGGAAAUUUCAACGGAAAGAGGGAAGUGACUGUUUUGAAAGAGUUCGGGUGGAGGAUCAAACUGAAAGGAUCUUGUGCAACUCUGCUUUUUAGGUCUAGUGCCAAAUCCAUCCAUUUAUUCCUUACCAUGGGGAAAUCGCUGAGGAAUGCCAGGAAAAAGACAGGUCUCUGGUCUGGCUGGAAGCACACAGCACCUUGCGUGGUCAGAUCCUCAUAUCUGUCUCUGGUUUUGGGUUCUGUCUGUUCUCUGCUGCCGUAGUUGGACAGCUGGGGGCUCUGAUAAAGGAUGGGGAGAUAAGAGGCUCUCUGCCACCCCUCCCUGCCCUGCAGCUCCUGCAUGCUAAGGCUCAGCUCUCGGAACCCCACGAGCUCUACUAAAUGUGUGAGAAAGUGGCUCUCAAAUGGAAUGGGUCCCAUGCACCCCUGUCUGUGGGGGACAUUUAAGUACAAACGCUUUGGGGGAAAAAAUGAUAUGGGGAAAAGAAUGAAAGCGUACUUAGAAGAGAGCAGAUUCCCUUCAACCAGCGCCCAUUGUGUCUCUCAAGAGGAUGCCCUUAGAGCUCUGGAACAGCUUUACCUUGAGUAAAAUCCAUAUUACUGAUGCAGCAGAGUGGGCACAGGCGCACCCUGAGGGAGACAGAUAUAACACAGCUGAGGAUGUGCUGAGGGAGAGUGCACAACUGAGCACAAAAGAUCUGGGUGAAAGAGCACGUGCUGCAGCUGAACUCCUAAAGCCCUCUCCAAACCAGAGGCUAAGCUAAUGAUGAGACAUGAAGACCGUUUAGAGACAGCACGACUCCAGCAAUCCAUGAGAACAAUGCAAAGUUCAAAAAUAGCAGUAUCGACUGGUGGAAAAACAACAUACAUAUAAUUUUCAGGUAAUUACUAUAGUAUAAUUAGCUCUCUUGUUUUCCUAAGAGCCGGCUGAAAUGAACUGUGCUUGCUGCUCGAGCUCAGACUUAUUUACAGUGUUCCCAGGACUAAAGCGAUCCUUUAAAAAAUCGAGAUUAGGUAAAAAAAAUAAAGACAGGAGUGCUUAGUAGGAGAUAGCAUCUCCGUGCUGUGGGUGGAGGCUGGCUGCUGGCGUCUCCGUCAGCAUUUCACCCGGCUCUGCUCCCAGCCUCAUUAGACGACAUCAGAGCUGAAGGACUGCAGCACAGAUGCAAAAUCUGCUCCUGUGCUAUCUGUGUUACUUCCCUGCGUGGUCUUAUGGGGGCAAGAGAGCUGGAAAAUGGUACGAUGUGGGGAGGAAAGAGGCUCAGACUGUAGCAUGCCUCUAUCUUUUUCCAGAUCGCUGCCUGUGACCGAUGCCCUGUGCAAAAUUGUUACAAAACAGGACUGUGUGGAAGUGCUGCAUUUCACAUGUACAGUGCAGUGGGAGUGCAAAGAGGGGGAGCAACGUAGCACUGUAACAGGGAUUUACUCUCAGAGUUCUGGAAAAUGUAGUUCCUUGAGCUCUUUAAUUUUUUUUUUCUCUGCCACAGAACUUUCCUUGUUAGGAAUUAUUUGGUAUCUGUAGAAUGUAACUUCUUGUGUGAGGAAGCCUUGCAGUCUUAAUUGAAAUCACUAGUAAUCAAAAUGGAAGAGUUUGUCCAAAACGAAAAGCUUGGUUUUGUUGGUGUUGUAAGUCUGCAUGGUUUAUUAUAAACCCGCCCCACCUCUCUGAAGGUACUUGGAAGCAGAAAACUUUCUGCAGCUUCCUGUCUUUGGGUUUGGGUUGUCCUUGGCCCGGGGAGGACAUGGCUGUGGCACAGAGCUGCACUCUCCAUGGCCCAAGGUGAGCCGGCCGCAGUGCUUUCUGCUCCUUGUUCCCCAUCUACGUGCUGUGAAAAUGGGUGCUAAUGGGGAAAAAUCACAAUUGUGACUCAGUGAGGUGGAAUUUUGUUGACAAAAUCUGAAUUCAGCUCAGCCAAAGGAAAUGCUUUUGCAAGUGUAGAUGAAUAUCUCAAGAAUGACCAUUAAUUCUAGCUUUCUUGGGGAAAAAAAAGAAGA
ensembl:lncRNA